AUUGAACGCUGGCGGCAUGCUUUACACAUGCAAGUCGAACGGUAACAGGCCUUCGGGUGCUGACGAGUGGCGAACGGGUGAGUAAUGCAUCGGAACGUGCCCAAUCGUGGGGGAGUAACGUAGCGAAAGUUACGCUAAUACCGCAUAAGCCCUGAGGGGGAAAGGCAGGGGAGUCGCAAGACCUUGCGCGAAUGGAGCGGCCGAUGUCAGAUUAGCUAGUUGGUGGGGUAAAGGCCUACCAAGGCGACGAUCUGUAGCGGGUCUGAGAGGAUGAUCCGCCACACUGGGACUGAGACACGGCCCAGACUCCUACGGGAGGCAGCAGUGGGGAA
rnacentral:rRNA from 1 species